GGGGAUGAUCGGUUUCGACAUUGCCUGCGAGCGGGAGAGAAGCGGGUCGAGGAUGCGGAGCUAUCUCGUAAACGCUCUCCGCAAACUAUAGGUGCCAAUACAAAGCGCGCCGACUUCGCCCUCGCUGCCUAGAGCAACGAGCCUGAAGUCCGUCGGUUCGAAGGUCUGUUCUCGCCUUCGCUCUCGGCGUCAUUAAGAGAACUUGCCGUGAGAUGACGUCUGAGCGCCUCACGGGACACUUACUCGGGCUGGGCUCGUCGACUUAGGUGCCAGUGACAAAGGUCGGAGCCGAGUAGAACGCUUUCACUAGCUACACCCGUAGAAGACUCACAAUCACAGCAGUGGACGGGGGUUCAAUUCCCCCCAUCUCCACCA
rnacentral:tmRNA from 2 species